rnacentral:lncRNA from 1 species
CCUGGGUAUAACACUCCCAAUUAUGAGUUGUGGAGAUAAAUCUAUCUAUCUAUAUUUUUUAUUUUUCAGAACAAUGUUUAUGUUGUGUAUAGCUAAUUGCUGUAAGUCUAACACAAAUGAAGCUUACAGUAGCUCAACACAUAAAAGUUAAAAAUAAGUUGAUCUUGCAACUUUGCCUUUUGGUUUUAUUGUCGGCUUUAUUGAUUGAAUUAUUUACUUUUUGAGGAAUAAACAGUCUUUAUUGGACUCAGCGCAGGAGUCCGUGGGUCUUGAGGACCUCUGUAUAUUUGUCAGUUUUCUUCUCCACAUUCUUUUCAGCUGUUUCCAUAGCCUCAUGAGCUGUUUCUUUUUCCAGUAGUGGAUCUUGGUCUUCUCCUUCCUCUUCUCCUCCAGGGUGGCUGUGACUGUCUGGCACUUCCAGCUUGAGGGCAGCAGGAACCACCACCUGUUUUUUCCUGUCAUAGGGUGUUGGGAUGCUGUCAAACACCUUGAAGCGGUCCAGGGAGGCCUGGCCUCCUUGGUCUUGUGAGGCAGCAUGCCUCGCAGUCUGCCGGAAGAUGAAGCUGGGGACCAGGAAGUGGUGGGGACCAGGAAGUGGUGGGCCCAGGAAGUGGUAGAUGCCUCGGAAAGGGUUGCUGUUCAUCCCCUUGCAGAGGAAGGCCAGAUCCAGGAGAUAAUCAACUAAGAGACGGGGACCCUUUUAGGUCAGGUCUUCAGAUAAGCUCAACCAAUUGUCAACCAGAACAUGUUUAAACUUGCCUAUAGUCUAGAAGCCCUCACUUUGAAUUGUCCUACCUUUCUGAACCAAAUCAAUGUAUUUCUUAGAUGUAUUUGAUUGAUAUCUUAUGUCUCCCUAAAAUAUAGAAAAUCAAGCUGUAUGUUGAUC